rnacentral:rRNA from 1 species
ACCUAUGGUGCUAAUGGUCAUCACCUUGCCCACUGAGAGGCAAAAUUGUGUCGGGCCUGGUUAGUACUUGGAUGGGAGACUGCCUGGUAAUACUGGGUGCUGUAGGUU